GUUACUUUUCUCCCUACUUCCCAACCAUGGCCUGGGCUCCAUUCCUCCUGUUCCUCUCUGUGUCCUACACUGGUGCCAGGGCCCAGUUUGUCCUAACCCAGACACCUUCAAAAGCUGCUGACACUGGAAAAACAGUACAGAUCUCCUGUAUCAGGACAGGUGGAAGCAUCUCAAGCUACUAUGUGUCCUGGUAUCAACAGAAGCCGGGCAAUGCCCCAAAACUUGUGAUAUACAACUUCAGCAACAGGCCUACCGGGAUCCCUGAACGCUUCACUGGUUCCUAUGAUAGUUCUGCCAAUUCUGCCACCUUGAGUAUCUCUAACCUCCAAGCAGAGGAUGAGGCUGACUAUUACUGCUUGUCUUCUGACAGCAAUAGCCAGUGCACUGUGAUACAACCUUAG